AUUGAACGCUGGCGGCAGGCCUAACACAUGCAAGUCGAACGGUAACAGGAAACAGCUUGCUGUUUCGCUGACGAGUGGCGGACGGGUGAGUAAUGUCUGGGAAACUGCCUGAUGGAGGGGGAUAACUACUGGAAACGGUAGCUAAUACCGCAUAACGUCGCAAGACCAAAGAGGGGGACCUUCGGGCCUCUUGCCAUCGGAUGUGCCCAGAUGGGAUUAGCUAGUAGGUGGGGUAACGGCUCACCUAGGCGACGAUCCCUAGCUGGUCUGAGAGGAUGACCAGCCACACUGGAACUGAGACACGGUCCAGACUCCUACGGGAGGCAGCAGUGGGGAAUAUUGCACAAUGGGCGCAAGCCUGAUGCAGCCAUGCCGCGUGUAUGAAGAAGGCCUUCGGGUUGUAAAGUACUUUCAGCGGGGAGGAAGGGAGUAAAGUUAAUACCCUUGCUCAUUGACGUUACCCGCAGAAGAAGCACCGGCUAACUCCGUG
rnacentral:rRNA from 1 species